rnacentral:rRNA from 1 species
GCGGCCUAUCAGCUUGUUGGUGAGGUAAUGGUUCACCAAGGCGACGACGGGUAGCCGGCCUGAGAGGGCGACCGGCCACACUGGGACUGAGACACGGCCCAGACUCCUACGGGAGGCAGCAGUGGGGAAUAUUGGGCAAUGGAGGAAACUCUGACCCAGCGACGCCGCGUGAGGGAUGAAGGCCUUCGGGCUGUAAACCUCUUUCAGUAGGGAAGAAGCGAAAGUGACGGUACCUACAGAAGAAGCACCGGCUAACUAUGUGCCAGCAGCCGCGGUAAUACAUAGGGUGCAAGCGUUGUCCGGAAUUAUUGGGCGUAAAGAGCUCGUAGGUGGUUCGAUACGUCGGAUGUGAAAAUCAGGGGCUCAACCCCUGACCUGCAUCCGAUACGGUCGAGCUAGAGUUUGGUAGGGGAGACUGGAAUUCCU